rnacentral:rRNA from 1 species
CCUACGGGAGGCAGCAGUGAGGAAUAUUGGUCAAUGGCCGCAGGGCUGAACCAGCCAAGUCGCGUGAGGGAUGACGGUCCUAUGGAUUGUAAACCUCUUUUGUCAGGGAGCAAAGCGCGCCACGUGUGGCGUUUUUCGGGUACCUGAAGGAAAAGCAUCGGCAAACUCCGUGCCAGCCGCCGCGGUAAUACGGAGGAUUCGAGAGUUAUCCGGAUUUAUUGGGUUUAAAGGGUGGGAAGGCGGAAUGUCAAGUCAGCGGUAAAAUUUCGGGGCUCAACCCCGUCGUGCCGUUGAAACUGGCGUUCUUGAGUGAGCGAGAAGUAUGCGGAAUGCGUGGUGUAGCGGUGAAAUGCAUAGAUAUCACGCAGAACUCCGAUUGCGAAGGCAGCAUACCGGCGCUCAACUGACGCUCAUGCACGAAAGCGUGGGUAUCGAACAGGAUUAGAUACCCUAGUAGUC